GAAGCAGACCCAGGAGGAACUGUUGAAGAACAAGCCAGACAGCCCCCCCCCCCCAAGCUGCCCACCAGGCUGAGCUGUACUUGGUGUUUGCCAACAUGCUGUAAUUUCCAGCCUGGUUGCUGUAGCCACAGAGGAAUUUUCAAGGACAAGAACCAGUGCUGGUAAAACUGUGGUCUCGUGUGGUUUUCCAUACCGGCUCUCGGCAAGGAUUUUCAAGAAAGGAAUAUCAUCUCCAAAUCAUGAUGUGCCAAUAAGCUCCAGUUAGCUGUGGCCUUUUCCCCAGACGGUAGUCCUGCAAUCUGAAUCCAGGAGAUGCAGCUCUGAAUCCAAUAUUUCAGAAGAAUG